UGGUUAAUUCCCCUCACUGGAUGGUAGUGAAACAUGGACACCAGGCAUUGGUAUUUGCAGUUAAAGCCUCCCGAAAUGAAAAUCUCAGCUCCCGAAACUACAGCUGCAUGGCCACUUAGGGCUUGGUCCAAAGGAUGAGUGAAACUGACACAUAGAAAAGUAAAGAAUUGGAUCUCUUUAACAGAGCUAAGAAAAGAUAUAAAAUUUGCUGAAAUGUAUUUUCUUCUCAUCUACCAUGUUUAUCCAAUCCACUUAAUAAGUUUGAAAUGUAUGAAAAACCUGCUAUUCCCAGGUUUAACUGCAAAAAUAAGUAGUGGUUAUGGUGGAAACCAUAAAUCAUUUUAUUGAGGCAUCAGUUAACCUAAACCAUUUAACCCUUGUGGGUUGUUGAGGCCAUUUUUGUUUUUUUAUGGCUUAAUUUGGCCACAGCUUUCUCUGUGUUUCAGCAAAUGGAAUGAUUUUUGGUGACAAAUCUUAUAUUUACGCAUAUUUUGAGAAAAUGCUACCUUUUCGGGUUGUUCGUGUACAAAAAAGCCACUAAAUUAAAGGGCUGUAAAAAUGUAUCAUAUGAAUAUUUUUCCAAUUUCUUUUCAUAAAUCUGUUUAUCGCCUUCAGUUCUAAUAAAAACUACCAAAUGUUUAAAAAAAAUUCUAUGAUUUUAAUUCUUUAAUUGCCAAGUUCAUAAGUGGUGUUAUGGUAGAGAAAUAUUGAGUGUUUUAUCACAAAAAAACUUAGACCCCAGAGGGUUAAGAUUAGUAUAAAGGUUUUAUAUGGUAUACUUUUAAUGUUUCUUAUGGUUAAGGUCUAAAUUAAUUAGGUUGUCUCUCUGUUGCUUGCACAUGACAGUGUUUUUCCACAGCUAGGCCUGGAUGGGGGACGUGUGACCUUGGUAAGAAUAGCAAGAUAGCUUUAUGAUGCGUUAGAAAACAAAGGCACUGUGUUUUACCAGCAAUGGCUGUCUUUUUGUGUAGCAACUUAAAGGUUGCAAAGAUACAGGCACAGUACAAACAGAUUCUUCGAAUGGGAGGGCUACUAAAACUGGGGAACUAUUUAAAUCACUGAAAAACUCAGAACGGGGUCAUUGUCAUUAUAAUUUUACCAAUGCAGGUACACCCUAUGACCAGUAUUGUAUUUCAAGCUGUCUGACACAAUUCUUUAAUAAAAUACUUUGAAGAGAAUUUUGCAUCUCAAUCGUCUCUGAUUCUCCUGAAAAAACUGAUUUGAUGGAAAAAGCACACAAAAUUACAGAUUUUCAAUAUAAAAGAGACAAACAUAAAAACUGAUGCUGCACAAAAAUAAAAAAUGCAUCAAAUCCAAUGUUUUUACCAAUCUUUGACAAGCCCAAGACUGUGAGAAAGGUUUUUUAAAAAUCCAGUCCACAAUCUCUUUUUAUAUUGAAAAUCAGUCAAUUUGUGCCCCCCCCAAAUCAGUGACAAAUCAGUCACUUAUGAACUUGGCAAUUAAAGAGUUAAAAUCAUGGAAAUUUUGUAAACAUUUGGUAGGUUAGUACUGAGGUUAAUUAACAUAUUUAUGAAAAAAAAGAAAAAAAAAUCUGAUACAUUUUUACAGUCGUUUAAUUCAGUCGUUUUUUGUACACGAACAACCCAAAAGGAUAGUGAAUGGGAGCAACCCACAAGGGUUAACAAAACCUAAAUUGUAAAUUCUUUUGACAAUUUCUUGUUUUUUGAGAUUUAUUCAGAUGAACCAACCCGGAAAUGGAAUUUACAACCAGUGAAUACGUCCGUACUUUCUGUAACAAUUAAAUAGGCUUUCAAGAGAGAUCCCAAGGUCUAAUCUGUCCUCAGAUAUCAGCACUGAGAUAUCAAAAGUCUGCAAAACAUUUAGAGAUUUUAAAGUAAUCUCAAACAUUUCCCAUCAAAUUCUUCUAAAACCAAAUGGUCUAAACUUUGCUAUUAAUGUUAAGUUACAUUAAUAAACCUUUAACUGCUUGCCAAAUGCUUACAUUUAUCAAACUUGAAACUUCAAAUUUCAGACUUUAAGGGCUGUUUCCUGGACAGGAUUUAGAAUAAUUCAGAACUAGGCCUUAGUUAUAUUAGGACCUUUAAGUAGUUUUAACAAACAUAACUUACAAAAAACAAUACUGGUGUUAACAUUGAGACAAAACAAUGGCAUUGAUAUACGUUAACACUCUGAGGUCCAAUAACGCGGUGCCGCGUUUUGACGUGUUUUCUCCUCAUCAAAGCAGAAUUAACUUAAAAUACUCCAUCAUUAAUAAUCAUACACUUCAUGUUAUACAUCAUUUGAAACUGUAAAGAGUCUUCUUUAAUUUGUGUACAUUCACAAUAACAACAAAUCUUUGUGUUUUUGUCAAAUAAAGAAAAUAAACAGGGUGCGUUACAAAAAACUAGGUGAUCAGAUUUAAAGACUUUACCGCAUAUUUGGAUGUUAAACAUUAUACACAUACGUGAGGAAGAUCUUCAUUUAUGUCUGGACAAUGAGGAAGAGUAAAGAAGCAUUCAUCUUUAAGUUAACCCAGAAGAACAAUGAAAGACAGACUGGAGGAGGAUAAUAUUCCUGAAGUAAGUAAUUUAUAUUCAUCUAUAUAUUUGCUAUCAUGUAAUAUGCUUAUGGCUUGUGCAGUUCAGCCUGCAUAUGUAACCUCAGCAGAAUGCACACUUCGGAUUGAGAAAAGGCCAUUGUUUACAAACGAGGACGGCUAAUGGCGUAUAAUUCUCUACAUGCCGUGCAGUUUAGACAGAGUAAUUCACUAUCAUGUAUCCUUCAACUUUCAGUAAGGAUGCUUUACAGGAUAUUUUAAGUCUGUGCUGUAAUAUGAUUCCAUACACACGCAAUGCCAUUGUUUACAAGCACCGUGUUGUUUACGAGCGAGUACUCCCACAUGUGGACUCGAUGUCAUAUGCAACAUGUUUUAGAAACAGUUUAUAUUUGCUUAUAGAAACACACGCAUUAAAACAGUUAAAAACAGAAGCUAUAAACAAUCAGUCGAUGGGCUUCUGAAAACAGCUUUUUAUGUAACUAAGCACUGCAGAUGUUCCUCUCAGGAGAUGUUCUGAAUGUAGUUAAAUGUACAUGAUAGUUUAUCUGAAUUUAGUGUUAUCAGUGAUAUUUACCCAUCAGUUAUGUAUGUAAGCUUAUGUGGUAGUUCUGUGGACAAUAUAUGCUAACAGCUGUUUCACUAGUUCACCUGCACAUUCAGGUCUUAAUGAUUUAUGGUAAACAAACUUGGCUUGAUGUCCUCGAAGGGAGCUCUGUACCUGAGCUCUGAACCUUCUGAGAGAGCGAACCAGAGGCUGCCUUAUAUACGCCCAUGAUAAUGAUGAUUGACAGGCCUGAAUGUUUAGGCUCCUCCCGAACCUACGUUUAGAACUACAUUAAUAACUUUCUUACAUGUCUGUAUCAUUCUCAUCAGUACAAAACCAUGAAGUGGAAAGACAAAUUCACACUUUUUGGACUUAAAGUUAUAUGAUAACAUGAGCCACAUGAAGUUUAUGUAAUAGUUCAUAGCAAAGCUCUGUUGUGUAUAAUUCAAAGUUUAAAUUCCCUUUCAGUCGGUCACUACGACGUCACGUCGUGACCAACGAAUUGGGAACCGCUUCGUGGAGACCUAUCUGCUCCGAGAAACUAUUAAAACGCGAAUGAACUUGGCAUGCAGAUAUUAGCAUCUGCCGGCGCCGCCCCGCGGCUCUGGUAUUUAACAAGAGGCAGGUGCAGUUAUCAAAUCAGCUUUUUCGCUUAGAAAGCCUGCAGUGAUCUGCAUUUGAGAAGCAACUCUGCUCUUGGAAGAACUCUCUGUGUGUCGAAGUUGGUUGGACUACAGAACCUCGCGGCUGAAUUCCAACUCUUGAUCUCUUUUUUUUUUGGAGUGUGUGUGUCGCCUCUCCCCUGCGUACUCAACAACUCAGCACUAACAUCUAACAAAGAGUACAUUUCCCUAAAAGAGCUGCACGAGUUGAACAGCUGUCUCUAGAAAGACGAGUUCGCUCGUGUCACGGUCGAUUGCGUCCAUCGCAUUUGGAUGACUGGUACUUACGGUCUGCCAGGACAACGCAGGCUCAGGCACCAGUUCCGUAGGUGCAGUAUGAGUUGACAUGGUCGUGGUAAAGCCCGUUUUCCUCCCGGAACCGGCCGUUUCAGCCAUCACCCCUCACCUCUCUUGAUGGCGGAUGGCAAAGGGUUAUAUCGAUAUCCCAACAGUGGAGCGGCCAGUUGCGAUGCAGUUGUGUCCAGCCGGUGUGGCUUCCACCUGGAGGGACCAACCGACCCUUCCAUCACGGGCCUUUAGGCAUACCUCUGCUUUGACAGAGAGUGCUUACUGGGCUUGUGGGGAGGCCGCUUCUGCGGUGCACGCAAUGGUGUUGCUGCAGGUCCACCAGGACAAGGCACUGAGGGAUCUGCACGAGGGAGGUCACUUCGAGGGUGUCCUGUUGCGGCCGCCUCCGUUCCUCACCGGGCCACUUCUUCAAAGAAGCGAGGAACUGGUCGUCAGCAGUCCGCCCUGCCCACUACAAGAAGAGGAAAAAGGAAAUCAAAGCGGCCCUGAGACGGGCGACCUGGAGAUGGUGGGGAUCGCUCUUCAGGAGAUGGUGAAGGCACCACUCCCCCCGGAGGAGGGCCGGGUGGGGAAUCCUUGGUUUCAUUUUGUUUCUGUUCUGUCAGAAACGAAUUCCCCCGUUUUCCAGAGGAUAUCAGUCUCUCCAGCUCAGCCACCCAUCUGCGGAGUUUGGUGAGUGUUUCACUACACAACACUUCUGUCAGUGUGCCCAAAGAGAGCGCACUGACGAUCACCCCUCCUCCGCUCGCCGCGGGUACUUCGAUUGUGCUGUUAAUACCUCUCGUUCUGUUUCUGGAGGCUUGGAAAAGCUUCCUAGCCCGUCACAUUGGCUUUUACGCACAAUUCGGCUCAGCUAUAUGAUUCAAUUUGCUCGGCACCCUCCCAAAUUUGCGUGCAUUUGCUUCGCUACAGUGAAGGGCUUCUACAGCCCUUACUUCAUUGUACCCAAGAAAAAUGCUGCACACAAGAGUAUAUCUCAAAGCAUUCGUCCAAAUGUUUAGUCUGCAGCCAUAAACCUGAAGGACGCAUACUCUUAUGUCUCGAUACUUCUACGACACAGGCCGUUUUUCCGUUUUGCAUUCGAGUGGUGUGUGCAUUCUGGCAUAUCUUGAUGAUUGGCUCAUAAUAGCACAGUCUCAUCAGAUGCUUUGCACUCACAUAGAUCGUGUGCUCAAACACCUCACCCUUCUCGGUGUUCAGGUCAACUGGGAAAAGAGCAAACUUUGCCCCACGCAGAGGAUCUCUUUUCUCGGUAUGGAACUGGAUUCGUUUUUUUUAACUGCAUGUCUAACAGAAGAGCGUGUACAGUCCAUCCUGACUUGCCUAAACACAUUCAAAAGACAAGAGCGCGGUCCCGCUGAAACAAUUUCAGAAGCUCCUGGGACAUAUGGCUGCAGCAGUGGCUGUGACACCACUUGGGCUGCUCCAUAUUAGACCGCUGGGGGGCCACGUAUGACGGGCUUACAGCCUCAGGGUCUGUACGUCACCCCAGCUGCACUGGCAAAUAAAUUGCCUUGAGUUGUGGGCUGUUUAUCUUGCUCUCGUCCGUUUCAGCAACGAGCUCCAGGGCAAAGAUGUAUUAGUCCGCACCGACAAUAUUGUGGCAGUUGCAUAUAUCAAUCACCAAGGCGGUUUACGCUCUUGUCACCUGUUGCAUCUCACCCGUCAUCUCCUCAUUUGGAGUCAGAGGAAUCUGAGGUCGCUUCGUGCCAUUCAUAUAUCGGGGUCGCUCAAUACAGUGGCUUUCUCAAGCAGCGCGCCCCGGCGAGUGGCGACUCCAGCCCGAGUCGGUUCAGCUGAUUUCAAAACGUUUUAGCAGAGCACAGAUAGAUCUGUUUACAUCUCCGGAGACAACCCAUUGUCGCCUGUUUUAUUCAUUGACCGAGGGAAUGCUUGGCAUGGACGCACUGACGCACAGCUGGCUGUGGGGUCUGCGCAAAUAUGCGUUCCCCCAAGUGAGCCUUCUUGCACAGACACUGUGCAAAGUCAGGGAGUACGAGGAGAGCAUUCUUUUAUGUAGCAGUUCUCUAUGAACCUCCGACCGAAACACUACGGAGAUUCCCAAGAGAAUCUUAGAUUUUAGCUCAAAAGGGAAUAUUAUGUAUAAUUAACUGUAAUUAACUAUACAAAUUUAUCAGGUUUUACCUGGCGUAGCAGAAUUAAUAAUAACAAUUAAUUAACCUGAUAAGGAACACUGUGCCGUACACGGUACACCCCCUCCCUUGCACUUGAGGCUGCAUUACGUCAUUUUAACUUUGAAGCAUUAAAUCUUCAAAAUAUACGGUCAUGUAUGGAAUUUUAUUUGUGUCAAAUUAAAUGAACGCAACUUUUGCAAAAACAAACAAAAAUAUACAUUGAUAAAAGAAAAAAACACUCUGAAAAUAAAAACAAUUAACUAACUAGCAAAAAAAAUAACAUCAUCUUUAAAUAUACUGCAUUCUUUGUUUAUGGUUUUCUAAGUUUCACUUUCACUAAACAUAGUUUUGAAUGUGCUGCAAGUGUUUUCAUUUAAAAUAUACAUUGAUAAAAGAAAAAAACACUCUGAAAAUAAAAACAAUCAACUAACUAGCAAAAAAAUUAACAUCAUCUUUAAAUAUACUGCAUUCUUUGUUUAUGGUUUUCUAAGUUUCACUUUCACUAAACAUAGUUUUGAAUGUGCUGCAAGUGUUUUCGUUUUUGCUUUCCAAGUUUUCGUUUGCACUUCGCAAAUUUACGUUCUCCAUUUUGUUACUCAUUGAACCGGAACCCCGGAACAGAAGGUGGCGGUAGUGCACCAAUAAGCUGGAUGCCAACCGCUGUUAAAAAUAACAAGAAGAAGAAGACGAUCGGACGCUGUUUUUCAGCGGAGCUGCAAGUAGUCUAAACAAACCGUAAUAAGAGUAUAUUCAAGAACAUUAAUGAUAAAACACAGAUAUUUUACACAUCAGCAGAAGAAUAACAAUAGUUCAAGAUGAGUAAUCGGGAGGCUCACGGUCCGGAGCAUUAACACCAUCCUUCUCGGCCGGACAAUCGAGGCAGCCUGAGGACCAAAGAGUGUCAUUUCUCCAGUUAGGCACUGAACCAGUUCAUGUUGUUCUCUGUAUAUAAAAUACCACUUUAAAGGGGCUUUGGUAUAUUUUUUAGGUGUUUUUAGUUGAUGUUUUUAUAAUAUUUGAAAUGUAACAAGUUCAGCAUAGAAUUCAUGUUAGCUAUUCCUACAAGAACAAGUGUGAGAACAUAUUUUGCAGCGUAUGUUAAGUUUAAAUCAGUUUUAAUUCAAAUCAAUGAAUCUUUAAUGCACGUUUACAAAAGCACCGUGCUACAUAAGGUUAAAAUGAAGCCUUGAAAGUGGUAGUCAUGUUUGCUGUUACUGAUGGGACAGAAAGCUCUCUUUGAAAAGAUAACAUUUUAAAGAUCUUUACUUGUGUUCAGAAGAUGAACAAAAGUCUUAAGGGGUUGGAACGACUUGAUGGUGAGUAAAUGACGACAGAAUUGUCUUAUUUAGGUGCAUAUCUGCACCACAUCUGGUGGUAUUCAGCCUACCUGCCCUUAAUGUUGAAAUGCCACUAAUUUGGUUUCCAUAAUACUUCACAUGAUGAUUUACUAUGGACAAACAUUUUUUUAAUAAGCUAUGAUUUGACCAUACUUCUCUCUUUUUUUUUUUUUUAGAAUUGAGCCUCUAUGGUGUGAUGUUUGGUCAGCCGUCUCUUGUACUAUGAAGAACUGCAAUGGAAGAAGAGACAGUGCUUGAUUCGGCAGGUGAACUGCACCUAUUUUAUGGUGGAGCAACUUCUUCACGGGGAAAUUGUUGACAUUGUCACAGAGGAUGAUGGUGUGGUCGUGGUGCCAGAGAUCUAUUGUCCUUUGUCAGACCAAAAGCCUUUGAUAUCACCAUUGAAUGUCCAGGAGUUAUACCAUCAGACACUCUGGGCCCUAUCUUGCACCCAGCGCAAUUGACUUUGUCAGUGACGCAUGUAUCAUUUCGUAUUUUGCCACGGCGCACAGCGGGUUUUUCCCUCCACAGACGCACGUCGGCAAACUAGGGAAUGAACUUGCGCUCCCUGGGUGGUUCAGCGCAAAAAAGGAGGCGUGGUCUGGCGAAAACCAUCUCUUAUGCUAAUUUGCAGUUUCAAAAAACAAUUGCGCUACUAACCAAAAAAAAACUAGUCUAAAGUCAGUGGCGCGUUGCGCGUUGUUCAUUAUGCUAUUUUAAGGGCGCAUGCUUGACCAUAAUGUAUAGCGUGCACAACGCGCAUUGCUUAUCUAAUCUACACAGAUGCAACAGUUAUUUUUGCAAAUCAUAAAUUGUUACAAUAAAAAAUAUAAGAUAAGGGAAAUCAUUAAAUCAUAAAUUGUUACAAUAAAAAAUAUUAAUACAUGAGAUAAGGGAAAUCAUUGUGGUGAGCAUUGUGGUGAUAGUUUUUAUUUAUUGUGUGGCUGCGUUAAAAAAUUAUCAUGCAAAUAAUGAUUAAAAUAUUUUCAUAAGUUUGUUGUGUGGCUGUAUUACGUUUAUUUCAUCUAAAUAAUUAAAUAACUUAAUAAUUAAAAUGUUUUCAUAAGAAACCUUAAUGUAUAUGAACUUGAUUUGUAAGUGUACUUUGGGGUUGGACCUUGCUUGCGUUUCUUGUGUCCGAUUUCAAAGCACCCAAACCCUUUCAGCGGUGAGGGUGGACGCAGCGAUGUCCUCCUGUGUGCCCGGCGUGCCCGAUUUAUGCUGGCAAGCUUGGAAUCCCCCCGUCUCCUGACAUCAUUGUAGUGCUUGGAGCAGCUGAUGAGACAAUUGCGGCUAUUUCCUCUCACGCCUGUUUAACCGACGCUGAUUUGGGCGGGUUUCUCCUAUCCCCAUACAAAACAACUUCUCUGUCUUUGACUGCUCUUACAAGAACGUGGGUCUCCUCAGCUGUGAACCGCUCCUGGCGUGCGCCUGGUAAAUCCGUCAUAAUAAUAGCAACCCGCCAUGGAACUUGCGCCCUUGCGUUUAAAGGGAAUGUUGGAUAGUGUUCUGAUUGGUUUAUUUGACGUUACGCCCAAACCACACCUAUGAAUAAUGAACCAACUGGGCUUCCCCUCUUAUUGUGUUCAGAUUCAUAUGCAUCUGCAGGGUUAUUCAUGCCAACACUUUAUAGCGUUGUGCUGGUAAUUUAUCUUUAUAUAUCAUGCCUUCUCACUGCGUCUGUCAGCCUGUGCUUUACAUAUCUGAGAGUCAACGCAGCUAAACAUGAAGGACUAAUGCAAUGCAAGACAUUAUGCAUGUUAUAUAUCGGCAUAUGGAUGAUUAGAUUAGAAACUGCUUUCUGUUUGUGUGUUUAAACAUCAAGACAUAGAAAAUGUACUGUCUUCCAUUUUCUGUUGUGUAAUAAAUCAAUAGGAAAAUCACUUUAAACCAUUCAACCAUUUAAUUUGAGAAAUAACUUUUUUGUAACAAAAAUAUUUAAGACUUUUUAAACCAUUUAGUAGCAUGUACAAUCACAAGUGUUUUUUGUCAUCCUCAUCCCAUCUCCAUGUUGUUUCUUUAUUCUGCUGAACACAAGACAUUUUAGAAAAAGAAGACAUUUUAAUAAAUGAUGGUUAGCACACACAAGACUGUACCCAUAGACUUCCUUAGAUUUUAUUUGUACUUUAGAGGUCAAUGGGUACACUCUCCUGUGUGCUUACCAUCAUUUAUCAAAAUAUCUUCUCAGCAGAAUAAAGAAACUUAAACAGGUUUACAACAACAUGAUGUUACGUCCCGGGGUUGUCAUGGUUCUGUGUGUGUGUGUUCUCACCUUUGUGGGUGUGUCAUACCCUCUUGUGUGCACCCGCCCUGCGUUCCAGUUCGUUUUUUUAUGAACUUCCCUCGCUAACUUCCCUUAGUCUCGUUCACUCGGAUGUACGUCAUUGCUUACAUUGUACACUACUGCUAGAACACUUGAAGUGGGUUCAAAUGGAUCGCCCUAAGCCCUUGAUCACAUGGAAAGUGGAGACCGCCCCCUCUAUGUGCAAAGCGCGAGUUGCUGAAGUGACGUCACAAUCGUGUUGCAUUGUGGGAUAUGAAGCUGCAUGAAGUGUACAUAUGAAGCAGACUCGCUCCCUCGGUCAAAAUUGAGGGAGUGAGGGUCUGUCCAUACAAACUUCCCUCGUCCACUUGACGAAGUGGAACGCACUUCAAAAUGGCGACAGGGAUUCCCCCGAGGGGAAGUGCUUAGGGAAGUUCGCGAGUGUGUGUCUAAAACUGGAGUGGAACGCACCCCCGCUCUCUCCCUU